GUGCAGCAGUCGCGAAACCUCCGCAAUGCUCGAAAGAGCGACGGGGGGACUCCAAGUGCCUACGCUCAGCGUAGGCUGUUCCCGAGCCUAAAAAGCUCGGGGAGUAAGGGCUGGGUAAGACGGGUGCCAGCCGCCGCGGUAAUACCCGCAGCCCGAGUGGUGGCCGCUAUUAUUGGGCCUAAAGCGUCCGUAGCCGGCUCGGUAAAUGCCUGGGUAAAUCGUCUGGCCCAACCAGACGAAUUCCGGGUAGACUGCCGGGCUAGGGACCGGAGGAGGGAGAGGGGUACUCCAGGGGUAGGGGUGAAAUCAGCAAGGUGAGUUGCUGAUGUAACUUGCCUUGCAAGUCACAAUCCUGUAAUCCCUGGAGGACCACCGGUGGCGAAGGCGCUCUCCUAGGACGGGUCCGACGGUGAGGGACGAAAGCCAGGGGAGCAAACCGGAUUAGAUACCCCUGUAGU
rnacentral:rRNA from 1 species